UACGUAGGGGGCAAGCGUUGUCCGGAAUCAUUGGGCGUAAAGAGCGUGUAGGCGGCUUUACAGGUCCGUUGUGAAAACUCGAGGCUCAACCUCGAGACGCCGGUGGAAACCGUAAAGCUAGAGUCCGGAAGAGGAGAGUGGAAUUCCGGGUGUAGCGGUGAAAUGCGCAGAUAUCAGGAAGAACACCCGUGGCGAAGGCGGCUCUCUGGGACGGUACUGACGCUGAGACGCGAAAGCGUGGGGAGCGAACAGG
rnacentral:rRNA from 1 species